CGCGUAGGCGGAUUGUACAGUCAGAUGUGAAAUUCCUGGGCUUAACCUGGGGGCUGCAUUUGAUACGUGCGAUCUGGAGUUCGGAAGAGGGUCGUGGAAUUCCCAGUGUAGAGGUGAAAUUCGUAGAUAUUGGGAAGAACACCGGUGGCGAAGGCGGCGACCUGGUCCUGGACUGACGCUGAGGCGCGAAAGCGUGGGGAGCAAACAGGAUUAGAUACCCUGGUAGUCCACGCUGUAAACGAUGUGUGCUGGAUGUUGGGUGACCUAGUCACUCAGUGUCGUAGCUAACGCGAUAAGCACACCGCCUGGGGAGUACGGCCGCAAGGUUGAA
rnacentral:rRNA from 1 species